rnacentral:lncRNA from 10 species
AGGAAAUUAUCAUGUAGAAACAGACAAAAAUUAAGCAGGAGAAUGUUCUUUACAGCAUUAUUUACAAUAAUAUUUUUAAAUUGGAAACAAUCUAAAAUGUCUUGUUACAUAAAGUAAUUUGUAUACAUGUAUAAAUGAAUACCUGCACGUAAUAGGUCAUAGUCUGCAGUUAUUUAAAGAAUGAAAUACAUUUCCAUAUACAGAUGGGAAAAUGUAUAUGCAAUGUACUUUUUAAAAAAAACUUUGAGAUAAUUCAGAGAGCAUGUUCUUAUAUUUUAUAACCAAAUAUGUGUCUGUAAAUGGAUAUAAAAAUCCAGGGCACUAUCCACCUGCUCAUUCAUAAUAGUGAUUUAUGAAUAAGAUUAAAAGUAAUCAUAAUUUUUUACUGUUACUUAACAUUUAAAUAUUUUACAAUAACAAAUAUCAAAAAAUAGUUUAAAGUAGAAUUCAUGCUAUAAUAUUACACCGGAAUAGUAUUUGUGCCAUACUAGUACUUCUGGAAAAUAAUAUCAAAUGCAAAGGACAUUUUAUUGCAACUUCUGAGGGAUGACAUUAGUUGAAUUUUAAGAAUGAUGUGUUAGGUUCAACUUAUAAAUCACUGUUAGACACAUAAUCCUUAAUCCACCUCUAUGUAGCAAUCUAGAAAAUAACAUCAGAUAUAAAGCCAAUAGGUAGAAUUAUUGUCAAAGUCUCUUUGUUUAUGGGGUGAUUGAAAAUUUCUUGGGAAACCUGUCCAAGGGUAUUUUAUUGUUUUUUAAAAAAUUAUCUCAUUAUGUCUCCAUGCACUAAUAAAAGAGCAAGUGUGUUUCCUUCAGGUCCACAGUGAAUGAACAUGAAGCGUGGAAGGACUGAGGUAGAUUCUGUGGUAGAAUAAGUGGUGAACUGCACAAACUGAAACCAAGAAGCAAAAUGUUUCAUCAAGAUCCUGGCCAGAAAUAAGGGCUGCAUAAUUCUUAAGAGCACCAAGCACUCAAAUAACGAUUCAUCCUUGAGGCAGGUAGAAGAAUAAAUUCCAUUUGUGUGUAUACACCCAGAAAAGUGCCCCGUGAGAACCACGUGAAGUAGGUUUCACGGCAAUACAACUUCUGUUAGCAGGGCCCUCGGAGUUAGUCAAUAAUUUAUCAUUACAUGAACUGAGCUUGGGAAAAUCAAAUUAAGCCUGAGCAAAUAAGGAACAUAGUUUUAUCUGACUCUUGUCACUCAUUAAUCCGGAAUUGAUUUUUGGGUCAGACACCAAAUUUUAAGUGGUUGUAUGUGUCAUUACUCAGAUAUGUUGUUUUCCUUUUGGUAUUGCAAUGAAUCAUAGAGACAUGAACCUUGGCUUAGAAUAUUUGCAUUUGUUAAGAUGAAAGUCAAACCAUUCAACUUUACAGAGAAAAGGAAAGUUAAGGGCAAAAACAAGAGUAUUGGGAGUUUGUUUCUUGCAUGAGACACUGCUUGAGUAUUGCACUGGAGGAUAUGCAAAUGUUCCUUAAUCAUGUGCCUCAAACAGCAAGUCUGAACUUCUUCAUUAACGUCAGAGGACAGAAAAGUUACCCUUAUCUUAGCCUGCUAUCUUGAUAUAAGAAAUUCACACACAGAAUUUUCCAAAUUUGAUAGAUUUUUUAAUUAUGAGGCAUUUGAAUUCUUAUUUUAAAUUUACAUAUGCCAAUGAAAUUACCUAUGAUUAUAAGCAUGAUUUCAAACUAACUCUAACAGGAAUAAAACCCCACAUUACAUUUUAAUAAGGUAGUAUCAAUCUUGAGUUAUUAAGAAAUGUAUAUGCUGCACACUGCUCAGAAAUAUGUUAGCAUGGUAUUGUUGGCCACCCACGGAUUAUCACACAGAUAAGGGCAUGCUAGGGACCUUCAGAAGCAAAUGUUCAUUUCAUGUUAUGCUCACAGAGUUUUGAGACUGUAAAAUGUAUGGCACAAUUUGAAGUAUUUGGCCACUGUCAGUGACACGAAUAGGUUAUAUAAACUGCAUUUACUUCCAGUGGAAAAAGUAAACUACCACGCUGAUGAUGAUAGCUGAGCAGACCUUAGAACACUACCCUAGAAGUAAAUUUAUGAUCCUGGAAUUCAGACAAAACCAUUUUCAGUAUUAGUUUGUAAAAUCUAAAAUGUGAUUAGGACAAGACAUUAGCACUGGGAAAUAAUUUCUACUAGUAAUAGUGAAUAAAACUUACUGUGCAAUAUUAGUAAAAAUGAAAAUAGUGGAGAUCUUUCUACAUAUUUACAAAUGUCUAUGAACAAUGGGGAAUCCAAUUUCUCCAUCAUUGCAUUGGAAGCAGUGUACUUUAAUGGUAAGAAUAAGCACCCCAGAGUCAGAGAAAGACCUGGAUUAAAAUUUUGACUCAGUUGUAUACUCACUUUGGAAAAGUAUUCAGUCUUCUGAACCUUGUGAUUAACUCAUGUAAAACUUAGUGUUAAAAAUAAAAAAAGUAAUUCGAUUGUUCAAUAUUAAAGAUAGUGUCGUAUAUAAUUUGCAUCAAUAAUUUUGCAUUAUAGGGUGUUAAAUUAACUUUCUCCUAAAACUGCCACCUUAUAUAUUUUAAGUCCAGCCUAAAGGUUUCUCUGUACACAGUGAACCGUAACCUAAAUGGAGAUGUAAGCAGACGGUAACUGAGGUUGUGCCAAUCACUGAGCUUUGGCCAAUCAAAAGGGACCAUCUGUUCAAACUGUGUUCCAACAAGGGAAAAGCUGAGCUGUCACCAGUUAUUCUAUAUGACUUUUUGCUUUUCCUGUCCAUGAAUCCUCUUCCACCACAUGGCUGUACUGGAGUCUCUCUGAGCAUACUCUGGCUCCAGAGGCUGCUGGAUUGGUGAAGUGUUCUUUGCUCAAUUAAUCUCUGUUAAAUUUAAUUUGGCUAAGGAUUUUCUUUUAACAAGGUCAAUAUAAAAUCCCCAAGCUGGGACCACGCACUUUUACACGGUUCAGUCUUAACAGGAGGGAAGCCCACAGACAGAAGGACCCGGAUCUCAAUCUAGGGCUUGGGCUUUGCCUCUCAAUGAAACAAAUCCAUAGGUUUUUGAAUGAAGAUUUUAUAUUAAUCAGAUUAUAUUAAAAACAGAUUUCUGUAACUUUUUCAUUCAGAGUAUACUAGAGGGAGCGAGGAGGGAAAG